UACGUAGGGUGCGAGCGUUAAUCGGAAUUACUGGGCGUAAAGCGUGCGCAGGCGGUUCGUUGUGUCCGUCGUGAAAGCCCCGGGCUUAACCUGGGAACUGCGAUGGAAACUAGCGAGCUGGAGUGUGGCAGAGGGGGGUGGAAUUCCGCGUGUAGCAGUGAAAUGCGUAGAGAUGUGGAGGAACACCGAUGGCGAAGGCAGCCCCCUGGGUCAAGAUUGACGCUCAUGCACGAAAGCGUGGGGAGCGAACGGG
rnacentral:rRNA from 1 species